UACGGAGGGGGCUAGCGUUGUUCGGAAUUACUGGGCGUAAAGCGCACGUAGGCGGCUUUGUAAGUUAGAGGUGAAAGCCCAGGGCUUAACCCUGGAAUUGCCUUUAAGACUGCAUCGCUAGAAUUGUGGAGAGGUAAGUGGAAUUCCGAGUGUAGAGGUGAAAUUCGUAGAUAUUCGGAAGAACACCAGUGGCGAAGGCGGCUUACUACACAAUGAUUGACGCUGAGGCACGAAAGCGUGGGGAUCAAACAGG
rnacentral:rRNA from 1 species